AUUCACUAUGCUGGUAAGCCAUUCGAUUCACUAUUAAGCGAUUUAGGAUUUUUGUUGGAUUGUGGAUUUAGGGUUUUAAUUUGAAAUUUCCUUUGAAAUUUGAUUUGUUUUCGAUGGUUUAUGGUCGAAUUGGGGAUAUGGGGUUAUCGAAUAUAAGAAAUUGGUGUUUUCUGUCUCUGAGCUCAACAAGCAAUUUUAGAAGAAGCUGGUGUUUCAGAUCCUGAUUCAGAGAGUCAGGUAUUCAUUAAACGAAUUUUGGCUACUCCCUAUGAGAAAGAGGUUGAAUUCGAGCUUGUUCCGAUAGACAUGAGAGCUUGUGAACAUAAGAGGGAGUCAUGUGCAAAGACCAAGUGUUGAAUCUUGGAUCCUGUGCUUUUUCUUGAUAUGUGCUGAAGUGGGUAUCAAUGGUGUUUGGUAUCAUCUGCAUCUCAUACGGGACCCAGUAAUCAAGCCACUACAUGAACUGGAGAAAAGUAACUUGGAAGAUAUUCUAACUCAAAUUCCAUUGUGGAUAAAAUGGCCCGAUUGCGAUCGAGUAGACUGGCUAAACAAGUUUGUCUUGGAUAUUUGUCCUUACCUUGACAAGUGAAUUUGCUCCACAAUAAGAAGCAUGGCACAAACUAUCUUUACAGAAUACAUUAAGGCAAUUGAAUUCGGCGAACUGAGUCUUGGAACUCUACCACCCAUAAUAUAUGGAGACCAUCAAAAGACAAGUCGCAAGCCUCUACCUCUGGCCUUAAAGACUUGAUAUCCCCUAUUCAACCUUGAGAAAACAACUGAACUUUCUAGUCGUGAAAAGGUUUCUGGUUUGCAAUUUUGUUGUUUAUAGGUCGAAUAUGGACCUUCAAGCACUUUGGGUCCGAUCAUUGUACUACAUGGGCGAGCUGAGGAUGGCUACUGAGUUGGAGAUUACUUGGACAUUGAUCAAGUCUGGGCUAAAUGGGCUAGCAUGUUCGCAAAUUUUCAGAUCACUAAUUCAGUAUGUCUAUUGUAGAUCAGUAGUUAGGGAAUCAUGUUGUGCAUAUAGCUAGAACUCACUUCGGUGGCUGUAAUGAUUCAUUAUGAUGACAUUCAAAUAAAGACUAUUUUU